rnacentral:rRNA from 1 species
ACUCAGUGAAAUUGAACUCGCUGUGAAGAUGCAGUGUACCCGCGGCAAGACGGAAAGACCCCGUGAACCUUUACUAUAGCUUGACACUGAACAUUGAGCCUUGAUGUGUAGGAUAGGUGGGAGGCUUGGAAGUGUGGACGCCAGUCUGCAUGGAGCCGACCUUGAAAUACCACCCUUUAAUGUUUGAUGUUCUAACGUUGACCCGUAAUCCGGGUUGCGGACAGUGUCUGGUGGGUAGUUUGACUGGGGCGGUCUCCUCCUAAAGAGUAACGGAGGAGCACGAAGGUUGGCUAAUCCUGGUCGGACAUCAGGAGGUUAGUGCAAUGGCAUAAGC